UGUCUCAAUUCAGGGUCUGCAUCCUACCUCGGCCGGAUUCGUCGGCCGGUUACGUCACAGCGCCGCGACUCGGCCUGUCCCAAUUCGAAGACUCCUUCAAAUGCGGUCGACGAAUGCGGCCUUCUUUUCGCCUGAAUGAAGGAUGGGUCGGGUGUAUCCUUCAAUAGGUAGCAUUUCCCAAGAUGCCUUGCGGGCCGGCCGGCAGAAAAACUUAAAAACAAUGGCGGACAGUGAAGCGGGAGCUGUCGGAGAGGAUUGCGCAUAUAAAUGUAAGUAUAAACUUGAAAACUGUCAGUUUAAGGACUUUUUGUGAUACAUGAACGUUAUUUUAGUUAGAAAUGUUACAGUAAAAGUGCUUGUAUUGCGGUCUCGGCUCGUAUGUUCGGCCGCGCUCGGUGUCGUACUUCUCCCACUACGUUUCCCCCUGAUUUUAAUAGAAGUUUGUAUUUUAGGACCAAAAGAGAAAACCAGGGAAUUUAUUAAGCUUAGGGCGGAGAUGGACCACAUGAUCACCGGAGCAAAGUAUUCGGCGGCUGUGGCAUGGAGACUAUUCUGGAGAAAAUGGGCAUCCAGGGGAAGGUGCCAGCGAUGAGCUUCUGGAGCUGAUCUGGGAGGACAUGAGGCUGCAGAGCAGCAGAGAGCACAGGAGAGAAGGAAGAACUUUGACAGCUUUUUACUUUGCUAGAAAAAAAUGGUUAAUGAAGAUUAAACAUGUACAUGUAAAAGAAAUAUCUAAAUAAAAUCAGUUCUGCAUUAAA